GUGCUCACUUCGCCAGCACAUAUACUAAAAUUGGAACAAUACAGAGAAGGUUAGCAUGGCCCCUGGGCAAGGAUGACAUGCAAAUUCCUGAAGCGUUCCAUAUUUUU
ensembl:snRNA U6 U6 spliceosomal RNA